UGCGUAGGCGGCUUAGCAAGUCAGGGGUGAAAGGCAUUGGCUCAACCAAUGUAAGCCUUUGAAACUGUUAGGCUUGAGUGCAGGAGAGGAAAGUGGAAUUCCUAGUGUAGCGGUGAAAUGCGUAGAUAUUAGGAGGAACACCAGUGGCGAAGGCGACUUUCUGGACUGUAACUGACGCUGAGGCACGAAAGCGUGGGGAGCGAACA
rnacentral:rRNA from 1 species